rnacentral:rRNA from 1 species
CCUGAACGCUGGCGGCGUGGCUAAGACAUGCAAGUCGAGCGGUAAGGCCCUUUCGGGGGUACACGAGCGGCGAACGGGUGAGUAACACGUGGGUGACCUGCCCUUAGCUCUGGGAUAAGCCUGGGAAACUGGGUCUAAUACCGGAUAUGACUCCAUGACGCAUGUUGUGGGGUGGAAAGCCUUGUGCGGCUAGGGAUGGGCCCGCGGCCUAUCAGCUUGUUGGUGGGGUGAUGGCCACCAAGGCGACGACGGGUAGCCGGCCUGAGAGGGCGACCGGCCACACUGGGACUGAGACACGGCCUAGACUCCUACGGGAGGCAGCAGUGGGGAAUCUUGCGCAAUGGGCGAAAGCCUGACGCAGCGACGCCGCGUGCGGGAAGAAGGCC